rnacentral:lncRNA from 1 species
CUGCUGGGAAGACUUGUAGCAUCAUCCUGGAGGAAAUCCUGCUUAUCAUGUCAGCUGCCAGUCAUCAAGGUCCAAUUCUGCCCCUGUUGUCUCUUGGGAUCCAGUCCCAUGUUGCUUCAACCCAAAUUUCUCCUGCUGCAACACCUCGUGGCACGAUCAGCUAUUCCCCCUCUGCUGCCACAGCCUGCUGAUGCAUCGAUGGGCAGGAGCUGGGGGGGGGAGAACCUUUGCUGGAGAGCGGUGGGCUCAGCUGUUGGACAAAACAGACCAAGAGGCAAGAGGUGGGAAGAAAAAAAGUAAGGAGAGGAAAAAAGAGCAUCACUCGUAGCCCUGGGGGGGGGUUAUUCAAGGC